rnacentral:rRNA from 1 species
UAGGGAAUCCUUGGCAAUGGGGGGAACCCUGACCGAGCAACGCCGCGUGAGUGAAGAAGGUUUUCGGAUCGUAAAGCUCUGUUGGUAAGGAAGAACGAGUGUGAGAAUGGAAAGUUCAUACUGUGACGGUACUUAACCAGAAAGGGACGGCUAACUACGUGCCAGCAGCCGCGGUAAUACGUAGGUCCCGAGCGUUGUCCGGAUUUAUUGGGCGUAAAGCGAGCGCAGGCGGUUAGAUAAGUCUGAAGUUAAAGGCAGUGGCUCAACCAUUGUAGGCUUUGGAAACUGUUUAACUUGAGUGCAGAAGGGGAGAGUGGAAUUCCAUGUGUAGCGGUGAAAUGCGUAGUUAUAUGGAGGAACACCGGUGGCGAAGGCGGCUCUCUGGUCUGUAACUGACGCUGAGGCUCGAAAGCGUGGGGAGCGAACAGG